rnacentral:rRNA from 1 species
ACUCCUACGGGAGGCAGCAGUGGGGAAUAUUGCACAAUGGGCGCAAGCCUGAUGCAGCCAUGCCGCGUGUAUGAAGAAGGCCUUCGGGUUGUAAAGUACUUUCAGCAGUGAGGAAGGUGGAUAUGUUAAUAGCAUAUUCAUUUGACGUUAGCUGCAGAAGAAGCACCGGCUAACUCCGUGCCAGCAGCCGCGGUAAUACGGAGGGUGCGAGCGUUAUCCGGAUUUAUUGGGUUUAAAGGGUCCGUAGGCGGGUUAAUAAGUCAGUGGUGAAAUCCCAUCGCUUAACGAUGGAACUGCCAUUGAUACUGUUAGUCUUGAAUGAGGGUGCAGUGGUUGGAAUGUGUAGUGUAGCGGUGAAAUGCAUAGAUAUUACACAGAACACCGAUUGCGAAGGCAGAUCACUAACCCUAAAUUGACGCUGAGGGACGAAAGCGUGGGGAGCGAACAGGAUUAGAUACCCUGGUAGCGAGUAG